UGAGCAAUCUGCCCUUCUCUUCGGAAUAAGCGUUGGAAACGACGUCUAAUGCCGAAUACGACCUCCUUUCGCAUGAUCGGAGGUGGAAAGCUCCGGCGGAGAGGGAUGAGCUCGCGGCCUAUCAGCUAGUUGGUGUGGGUAAUGGCCCACCAAGGCGACGACGGGUAGCCGGCCUGAGAGGGUGACCGGCCACACUGGGACUGAGACACGGCCCAGACUCCUACGGGAGGNAGCG
rnacentral:rRNA from 1 species